rnacentral:tRNA from 1 species
GCUCGAUUAGUUCAAUGGUAGAACGGGGUCUUUACACGGCCUUUACGGAAGUUCGAUUCUUUCAUCAAGCA